rnacentral:rRNA from 1 species
UACGUAGGGACCAAGCGUUGUUCGGAUUUACUGGGCGUAAAGGGCGCGUAGGCGGCGUGACAAGUCACUUGUGAAAUCUCUGAGCUUAACUCAGAACGGCCAAGUGAAAUUGUUGUGCUAGAGUGCAGAAGGGGCAAUCGGAAUUCUUGGUGUAGCGGUGAAAUGCGUAGAUAUCAAGAGGAACACCUGAGGUGAAGACGGGUUGCUGGGCUGACACUGACGCUGAGGCGCGAAAGCCAGGGGAGCAAACGGG